AUGCUAGCGGCCCCUCCCAGCGGUGGUCACUGCCAGUGUCAGUCCCUCCCGCCGCCGUGCAGUGCCGCCCUAUCUUGCUGCAGCCGCCGCACCCGCUCCAGCGCCCCCAAUUUGCGCUCGGGAGCGAGGAGCGGCCAACGGCCCCGCCCCGCUGCCGCCAUCGUCACCGCAGUGCUCUCCGGUCGCCAUUCGUUACCGAAACUUUACAGCACCCGCGACGUUUCCGGGACUCCGCGGCGGCUGCGCGGAGGCGGCCCAGGGGCGGCGCGCGGCUGCUCGGGUGCGCGGGGCUCUUUUCGGCAGCCACACUGCUGGGCCUCGAAAGAUGACCGUCUGAGGGAGAUUCAGAGCACUGCCAGGACUCUGGUGUUACCUCCUGUCAGCCUUUGGUUGAAAGCACUUGGAAACCUGGGUGGCUGAUGUUCUCCAGAGGCAGAAAAAUGUUCCCGGCCAAGGGAGGUCAUCUCCAGCAGAUCCUGAGUGUCAGGAAUUCAGAUUCUCUGCCCCACUCCUGCUGGAUCGGAGGACACUUCCACUAGAACCUGGACCUGGCCUCUUUCCAGUUUUCUGCUGGGAGUCCAGAUUCUGGUGCUUUGCCCUGAAUCUCCCGGCCUGGCUCAUCAUCACAGGUUCUCUGCGCAGUGAGGCAAGACCAUCAUUGUGCUGCUUUCCUGAUGCCUUCCAUUUGCCUUUUCUCCAUUUCAGAAAACAAAAAAUCCUGGUAUGCUACAUCCUGAGAAGUUGUUAAUCUUUCACCGCUGCAUACAUUGAGAAAAAUCAGUUCCAGCCAGGAAGCAGCACUAAAGGCAUAUUGUAAACUUUUUUCGUAAUUGGAAAGGUAAAUUUUUUCCCCCCAUAACUAUUUUUUAGUGUGAAGGAAGUAAUUGAUGUCUUGAGUCGGAGAUGGGACUCAAGUUUUUCCCCUUGGGUCUUGCCUGCUACACUCCUGGCCACCCUUUCUGUGGGACUUGACCAAAGGGAUCACACUGGCCAGCCUGGCAAACCCACCAGAACCAAAAGAAAAGCUAGAUGUGGGAAAGGGCUGAAGAACUCCACAUGUGUCUAAAGGGCGAAGAGAGCCUAGGUUGAUAAAAGGAGGUUCAGAUUUCCAGUGGAGAAAUGCAGCCAUUAUAGAAUGCGCCCCUGCGCUAUCAUCACCAUCAAAUAUUUAUGGAGAAUCCACUGCAUGCCUGAAUGUUGCAGUAGUGAAUUGGAAGCUAUUACAGAUGCAAUUAGAGCAAAACAGAUGGAACUGGAGCAAAUUUAAAGUAAAGAUGGAAGAAAGAGUAUGUUGAAUUUUCACAAGAAGAUGGGUACUGUUUCCUUUUGCCUAGGUCUGUUCUUGGCUGAUGGAAUGAGAGAUUUCGACUUGGGGCAUGCUACACGAUGUGUUCAGAAGAAGGGGAAGACUUAGACAUGGAAGUAGAGGCCGGGUGUGGUGACUUACUCCCAUAAUCUCAGCACUUUGAGAGGCUGAUACGGGCAAAUCACUUGAGGCUAGGAGUUCGAGACCAGACUUACCAACAUGGAGAAGUCGUGUCUCUACUAAAAAUACAAAAAUUAUUGGGUUGUGGUCGCGGACACCUGUAAUCUCAGCUGUUUGGCAGACUGAGACAUGAGAAUUGCUUGAGCCUACUGUGAGGCAGAGGUUGCAGUAAGCCGAGAUCACACCAAUGCACUCCAGCCUGGUGACAGUGAGACCCUGUCUCCAAAAAAAAAAAAAAAAAAAAAAACUACUCUAAUCCCAGCACUUUGGGAGGCUGAGUAGUUGGGUAGAUCAUCUGAAGUCAGAAGUUUGAGACCAGUCUGGCCAACAUGGUGAAAUCCCACCUGUACUAAAAAUACAAAAAUUAGCUGGGCAUGGUGACACAUGCCCGUAAUCCUAGUUACGAGGCUGAGGUAAAAUCAGUCACUUGAACUGGGGUGGCGGAGGUUGCAGUGACCUGAGGUCAUGCCAUUGCACUCCAGCAUGGGCAACGAGAGUGAGAUGCUUUCUCAAAAAUAUAUAAACCAAUGAAUGAAUGAAUGAAUGAGUGAAUUAAUAAAUGGAAGAAGAAAAAAGAAAUGAAGGUAGACAACUUGCUUGCUUAUUGGAGGCAGCCAACCAGUGGCUCUUAUUUGGCAUGCUUUUGUCCUUUACUUUUGAAGGGGGCAUUUGCUAAAGUCUGGAGACAUUUUUGGGCUCCCACAGCUGGAAAAGGUAGGGGGAGCUUCUGGUGUCUGGUGGGUGCAGCCCUGGGAUGCUGUGCCAGUACCCUGUGUGCACAGAACAGCUCCACUGCAGAGAAUGGUCUGACCCCGAGUGUCAACAGUGCCAAGGAGAAACCCUGAAUUAUAUAGUCAACUUUAGCAACAGUCCCUAGCCUUGGGCCUCAGACCAGCACAGGUGUGUGUCCUUUUAGGAACCUGCAGGAGGUGAGUGGCAGGCGAGUGAGCAUUGCCAUUUGAGAUCUACUUCCUGUCAGAUCAACAGUGGCAUUGGAUUCUGAUACGAGUGAGAACUAUGUUGUGAACUGCACAUGCAGGGGAUUUAGGUGUUGUGCUCCUUAUGAAAACCUAAUUCCUGAUGAUCUGAGGUGGAACAGUUUCAUCCUGAAACCAUCCUCCAUCCCCACCCCGUGGAAAAGUGUCUUUCAUGAAAGUGGUCCUUUGUGCUAAAAAGGUUGGGGACCACUGAACUGUUUAAUCCUGUUUUGGUCAAGGCCUGUUGGGGAGAUGGGGAGGUGGAUGCCAAGAAAAAAUUAACUUCAACUUCUGUAGUUGUCAAGACACACAAGUUUUAGGGUGAUAUAUUAGGAAAUAAAUCAUAGCUGCUGAUCAGUACAGUAAGAGUAUCAGAUGCUUACAGGAGAAAGGGAAGGAGGAGGUAGGAAGUGGAUUUUGCAGAAUGAUCACAAAUGAGGUCAGAGGGUAUUGCAGUGGGCGGUGGAGCAGGAGUGGGGGUUGUUGCUAGCUGUCCAAGCUUUGUUUCAGCACAGAUAUCCUGGAGCCCUACAUUCAAGUACUCCCUUAGUACAUGUUUCUCAGACCCUUCCUUUUGACUUUAUUGAUGUCAUCACAGAUGUACUAGGUCUUACUUACAAGGAGGGUGAACUCCUUGGUACUCUGGAGUUGGUUAGGAACAAGUGGCACAAGGUUUCUCUGUGCUCAGUGAAUUGUGAGUGGUGUAGGGUCACUAAGAAAUCUCAGAAGGGACUUAGUGUGCUACCUUCAUCUCAUUCUCUUCCUACAGAUGUUGAAAUGAGAGACAUGGUGGGGCAGCCGGGUACGGACCUGUAUUAUACUUCAUGGAGGCCCUCUUCCAAGUAUCUAUAGGAAAAAGGCAUCUAAAGUUAGGUCCUGCUGUGGCAUGUUUCAUCCUGAACCAGCCUCUGGUCGCCAUGUCCAGGUGAGCUCCAGAGCUGCCCUGAGUCAUGCCUGUUUUCAGGAAUUCUGUGUUGUGGCUGGACCUGGGGGCUGGGGACAGCUAUGAGGGAAAUCUCGUUUGCAGCCAGUGCCAUGCACUGUGUGUAUCUUUGAGCACAUUAGUGAGCUUCUGUAGCAUUAGUAUUCUCAUUGAGACAGAAGGUGUGUGGAGUGGGGGAUGUGGGGAGAAAGAUUUCCCAGGCUUCUUGUAUUAAAUGAGCUAGAAUUAUAUUUUCAUGUAUUUUGAAUUUUACUUAUCCUUUCUUGAGAUGGUCUCACUCUAUUGCACAGGCUGAAGUGCCGUGGUGCGAUCUCAGCUCAAUGCAGCCUUGGCCUCCUGGGCUCAAACAGAUUCCCCACCUCAGCCUCCGGAGCAGCUGGUACUACAGGUCUGUACCUCCAUACUUGCGUUUUUUUAUUUUGUUUUUUUGAUUUUAGUGGAGAAGGAGUCAUCUACAUUGCCAGGGUGAUCUCAGAAUCCUGGGCUCAAGUGAUCCAUCCUCUUUGCUUGACCACCCAAAGUGCUAAGACUGCAGGUGUGAGGAACGAUACUCCGCUGAAGCAGAUAGAAUUAUAAUGCUUGGAACCCAAUAUGCUUAUAUUUUCUUGUUUUCUGAAGUUUUGAAUUGGGUCUGGAAAGGUAUCUUUAUCAGUUAGGAAGUCUAGUAACUUGCUUGCUUUUUUUUUUUCCCAUUACAUUAUCUCAUUAUCUUUUCCCUCUUUUUUUUUUUUUUUUUUGAGACUGGAGUCUCGCUCUGUUGCCCAGGCUGGCGUGCAGUGGCCGGAUCUCGGUUCAUUGCAAGCUCCGCCUUCCGGGAGCCAUUCUCCUGGCUCAGCCUCCGGCGUAGCUGGGACUACAGGUGCCGGCCACCACACCCGGGUAGAUUUUUGUAUUUUUUAGUAGAGACGGGGUUUCACCGUGUUAGCCAGGAUUUUUUUUUUUUUUUUUUUUUUUU
ensembl:lincRNA